UACGGAGGGGGUUAGCGUUGUUCGGAAUUACUGGGCGUAAAGCGCGCGUAGGCGGGCUGUUAAGUCGGGGGUGAAAUCCCGGGGCUCAACCCCGGAACUGCCUUCGAUACUGGCAGCCUUGAGUCCGAGAGAGGUGAGUGGAACUCCGAGUGUAGAGGUGAAAUUCGUAGAUAUUCGGAAGAACACCAGUGGCGAAGGCGGCUCACUGGCUCGGUACUGACGCUGAGGUGCGAAAGUGUGGGGAGCAAACAGG
rnacentral:rRNA from 1 species